rnacentral:rRNA from 1 species
GCCGGGGGGGGUGCUUACCAUGCAGUCGAACGAUGAAGCCCAGCUUGCUGGGUGGAUUAGUGGCGAACGGGUGAGUAACACGUGAGUAACCUGCCCCCGACUCUGGGAUAAGCCCGGGAAACUGGGUCUAAUACCGGAUAUUACCUUUGACCGCAUGGUUGUUGGUGGAAAGAUUUAUCGGUGGGGGAUGGACUCGCGGCCUAUCAGCUUGUUGGUGAGGUAAUGGCUCACCAAGGCGACGACGGGUAGCCGGCCUGAGAGGGUGACCGGCCACACUGGGACUGAGACACGGCCCAGACUCCUACGGGAGGCAGCAGUGGGGAAUAUUGCACAAUGGGCGAAAGCCUGAUGCAGCGACGCCGCGUGAGGGAUGACGGCCUUCGGGUUGUAAACCUCUUUCAGUAGGGAAGAAGCGAAAGUGACGGUACCUGCAGAAGAAGCGCCGGCUAACUACGUGCCAGCAGCCGCGGUAAUACGUAGGGCGCAAGCGUUAUCCGGAUUUAUUGGGCGUAAAGAGCUCGUAGGCGGUUUGUCCCGGCUGCCCCGAAAGUCCGAGGCUCUCCCCCUGAUCUUGCGUGGUACGGGGCCAACUAGUGAUGUCAGGGACACACUGAAUUUCCUGGUGCCGCGUGAAUGC